rnacentral:rRNA from 1 species
GAGUUUGAUCCUGGCUCAGAACGAACGCUGGCGGCAGGCUUAACACAUGCAAGUCGAGCGAGACCUUCGGGUCUAGCGGCGGACGGGUGAGUAACGCGUGGGAACGUGCCCUUUUCUGCGGAAUAGCCUCGGGAAACUGAGAGUAAUACCGCAUACGCCCUUUCCGGGGGGAAAGAGUUUAUCGGAGAAGGAUCGGCCCGCGUUGGAUUAGGUAGUUGGUGGGGUAAUGGCCUACCAAGCCGACGAUCCAUAGCUGGUUUGAGAGGAUGAUCAGCCACACUGGGACUGAGACACGGCCCAGACUCCUACGGGAGGCAGCAGUGGGGAAUCUUAGACAAUGGGGGCAACCCUGAUCUAGCCAUGCCGCGUGAGUGAUGAAGGCCUUAGGGUUGUAAAGCUCUUUCAGCUGGGAAGAUAAUGACGGUACCAGCAGGAGAAGCCCCGGCUAACUCCGUG